UAAACUUUUCUUCUUGGCACGAAACAAGAGCUGCGAGGUUUAUGGAAUGGGAUUUCAACAGUCCACGUUGUCUUAAUACUUGCCUUUAGUGUCCCUUUUAAGAAAUAGUAACCUUAAGUGC
rnacentral:lncRNA from 1 species